ensembl:snRNA U6 U6 spliceosomal RNA
GUGCUUGAUUCAGCAGCACAUACACUAAAAUUUAUAAGAUACAGAAAAGACUGGCAUGGCCCCUGCACAAGGAUGACAUGCAAAUUAUUGAAGUAUUCCAUAGUUUU